AGUGAACGCUGGCGGUAGGCCUAACACAUGCAAGUCGAACGGCAGCACAGUAAGAGCUUGCUCUUACGGGUGGCGAGUGGCGGACGGGUGAGGAAUACAUCGGAAUCUACUUUUUCGUGGGGGAUAACGUAGGGAAACUUACGCUAAUACCGCAUACGACCUACGGGUGAAAGCAGGGGAUCUUCGGACCUUGCGCGAUUGAAUGAGCCGAUGUCGGAUUAGCUAGUUGGCGGGGUAAAGGCCCACCAAGGCGACGAUCCGUAGCUGGUCUGAGAGGAUGAUCAGCCACACUGGAACUGAGACGCGAUCCAGACUCCUACGGGAGGCAGCAGUGGGGAAUAUUGGACAAUGGGCGCAAGCCUGAUCCAGCCAUACCGCGUGGGUGAAGAAGGCCUUCGGGUUGUAAAGCCCUUUUGUUGGGAAAGAAAAGCAGCAGGUUAAUACCCCGCUGUUCUGACGGUACCCAAAGAAUAAGCACCGGCUAACUUCGUG
rnacentral:rRNA from 1 species